rnacentral:lncRNA from 1 species
GCCACCUACAGGACAGAGGAAGACCUGCACCCUGAUCUGGAAAACUCGACCGCUGGGGGGUCCGGAACCGACUGGGCACCGUGUGCCCUUCCUCCUCCUCGCCGUAGACCGUGCACCUCGGGGUUCCCGAUUUUUGAGACUCCCUUACUCAGCUGGAGAGAAAAUCGUUGCCAAGGCUCCAGGCCCAUGACGAUGACUUGGAUUGAGAACUGGCCUCACCUGCCACCUGUCAGAACCUUCUGCAAGAACACCCUAAUGACACGUUGACAAGCUGGUGAAGCAUAGUUCCCUCUCUGUUGCAUCUGCCUCUGACACCACCACUCCUCCUGUAGUCUCUGACGUGGGCAGAUGGAGGCCUCGGCAGGCUCCGACACCACCCGGCUGCUCAGCUAGAAGCUCUGUACACCCCUUUCUUCUGGAAACAAAAGAAUAAAAUUCCUGGGGAUCGACCA